rnacentral:rRNA from 1 species
AUUGAACGCUGGCGGCAUGCUUUACACAUGCAAGUCGAACGGCAGCAUAAGGAGCUUGCUCCUUGAUGGCGAGUGGCGAACGGGUGAGUAACGCAUCGGAACGUGCCCAGUAGUGGGGGAUAACUGAUCGAAAGAUUAGCUAAUACCGCAUACAACCUAUGGGUAAAAGCAGGGGACCUUCGGGCCUUGUGCUAUUGGAGCGGCCGAUGUCAGAUUAGGUAGUUGGUGGGGUAAGGGCCUACCAAGCCUUCGAUCUGUAGCUGGUUUGAGAGGAUGACCAGCCACACUGGGACUGAGACACGGCCCAGACUCCUACGGGAGGCAGCAGUGGGGGAUAUUGCACAAUGGGGGGAAACCCUGAUGCAGCGACGCCGCGUGAACGAGGACGGUCUUCGGAUUGUAAAGUUCUGUCAACGGGGACGAUAAUGACGGUACCCGUGGAGGAAGCC